GAUGAACGCUGGCGGCGUGCCUAAUACAUGUAAGUCGAGCGAACAGACGAGGAGCUUGCUCCUCUGACGUUAGCGGCGGACGGGCGAGUAACACGUGGAUAACCUACCUAUAAGACUGGGAUAACUUCGGGAAACCGGAGCUAAUACCGGAUAAUAUAUUGAACCGCAUGGUUCAAUAGUGAAAGACGGUUUUGCUGUCACUUAUAGCUGGAUCCGCGCCGCAUUAGCUAGUUGGUAAGGUAACGGCUUACCAAGGCAACGAUGCGUGGCCGACCUGAGAGGGUGAUCGGCCACACUGGAACUGAGACACGGUCCAGACUCCUACGGGAGGCAGCAGUAGGGAAUCUUCCGCAAUGGGCGAAAGCCUGACGGAGCAACGCCGCGUGAGUGAUGAAGGUCUUCGGAUCGUAAAACUCUGUUAUUAGGGAAGAACAAAUGUGUAAGUAACUAUGCACGUCUUGACGGUACCUAAUCAGAAAGCAACGGCUAACUACGUG
rnacentral:rRNA from 1 species